GAUGAACGCUAGCGGCAGGCUUAAUACAUGCAAGUCGAGGGGCAGCAGGACUGUAGCAAUACAGUUGCUGGCGACCGGCAAACGGGGGCGGAACACGUACGCAACCUACCCAAAACUGGGGGAUAGCCCGGGGAAACCCGGAUUAAUACCUCGUAACCUUUUUAAGUGGCAUCACUUGAUAAUUAUAGCUCCGGCGGUUUUGGAUGGGCGUGCGCCUGGUUAGGUGGUUGGUGCGGGUAACGGCCCACCAAGCCUGCUAUCAGUAACUGGUGGGAGAGCCAGACAAGUCACAAGGGAACUGCGACACGGGCCCGAAUACUACGGGAGGCAGCAGUAAGGAAUACUGGGCACGGGACGCAAGUCUGAACCAGCCAUGCCGCGUGAAGGAUGAAGGUCCUCUGGAUUGUAAACUUCUUUUAUGGGGGACGAAACCCGGAUAUUCUUAUCCGAUUGACGGUACCUCAGGAAUAAGCACCGGCUAACUCCGUG
rnacentral:rRNA from 1 species